rnacentral:rRNA from 1 species
GUGCCAGCCGCCGCGGUAAUACCGGCAGCCCGAGUGAUGGCCGAUCUUAUUGGGCCUAAAGCGUCCGUAGCUGGCUGCGCAAGUCCGUCGGGAAAUCCACUCGCCCAACGAGUGGGCGUCCGACGGAAACUGCACAGCUUGGGACCGGAAGGCGCGACGGGUACGUCCAGGGUAGGAGUGAAAUCCCGUAAUCCUGGACGGACCGCCGAUGGCGAAAGCACGUCGCGAGAACGGAUCCGACAGUGAGGGACGAAAGCUAGGGUCUCGAACCGGAUUAGAAACCCCUGUAGUCC